rnacentral:rRNA from 1 species
CCCGGUUGGGCCCGUAAUAAUGAUGCACUUCGUACGAACUCUGCCAUUGAUUGGUUGCUUGCAUCAUGAUUUACAUUUGAGUGAGUGGCGAACUGGUGAGUAACACGUGGGAAACCUGCCCAGAAGCGGGGGAUAACACCUGGAAACCGAUGCUAAUACCGCAUAACAACUUGGACCGCAUGGUCCGAGUUUGAAAGAUGGCUUCGGCUAUCACUUUUGGAUGGUCCCGCGGCGUAUUAGCUAGAUGGUGGGGUAACGGCUCACCAUGGCAAUGAUACGUAGCCGACCUGAGAGGGUAAUCGGCCACAUUGGGACUGAGACACGGCCCAAACUCCUACGGGAGGCAGCAGUAGGGAAUCUUCCACAAUGGACGAAAGUCUGAUGGAGCAACGCCGCGUGAGUGAAGAAGGGUUUCGGCUCGUAAAACUCUGUUGUUAAAGAAGAACAUAUCUGAGAGUAACUGUUCAGGUAUUGACGGUAUUUAACCAGAAAGCCACGGCUAACUACGUGCCAGCAGCCGCGGUAAUACGUAAGUGGCAAGCGUUGUCCGGAUUUAUUGGGCGUAAAGCGAGCGCACGCGGUUUUUUAAGUCUGAUGUGAAAGCCUUCGGCUCAACCGAAGAAGUGCAUCGGAAACUGGGAAACUUGAGUGCAGAACAGGACAGUGGAACUCCAUGUGUAGCGGUGAAAUGCGUACAUAUAUGGAAGGACACCAGUGGCGAUGGCGGCUGUCUGGUCUGUAACUGAGGCUGAGGCUCGAAAGUAUGGGUAGCAAACAGGAUUAGAUACCCUGGUAGUCCAUACCGUAAACGAUGAAUGCUAAGUGUUGGAGGGUUUCCGCCCCUUCAGUGCUGCAGCUAACGCAUUAAUCAUUCCGCCUGGGGAGGACGGGCCGCAGGCUGAUACUCAUAGGAUUUGACGGGGGUCCGCACAAGCAGUGGAGCAUGUGGCUAAAGUCACAAGCACCCCGAGAACCCUCACCCAUUGUCUUGACAUAACUAUGGAUAGUCCAAAUGAGAUAAUACGUUCCCUUCGGGGGACAUGGAGGCAGACGGUGCAAUCGAUGUCGCCCGACUCGUGGCCACGUAGUAUGUUGCGUUUACGUCUCCCCACGUGGAGCACACCCUGUACUGAUCAGUGGCCAAGCAAUCAGGUGAGAGGAACUCCCUGGUACGACUAUCCCGUGACAUAACCGAAUGAAAGGGUGGGGCAAUGACGUCAAAUCCUCAUCGCCCCUAUAUAGACGGUCUACAUCCUGUCUACAUGGCAGGUAUCACACUGAUGUGCGUAACAUCUCCGCAGUAAGAAUCUAAUCGCUCUAAUC